rnacentral:rRNA from 1 species
GACGAACGCUGGCGGCGUGCCUAAUACAUGCAAGUCGAGCGAAGUUUUUCUGGUGCUUGCACCGGAAAAACUUAGCGGCGAACGGGUGAGUAACACGUAAAGAACCUGCCUCAUAGACUGGGACAACUAUUGGAAACGAUAGCUAAUACCGGAUAACAGCAUUAACUGCAUGGUUGAUGUUUAAAAGUUGGUUUUGCUAACACUAUGAGAUGGCUUUGCGGUGCAUUAGCUAGUUGGUGGGGUAAAGGCCUACCAAGGCGACGAUGCAUAGCCGACCUGAGAGGGUGAUCGGCCACACUGGGACUGAGACACGGCCCAGACUCCUACGGGAGGCAGCAGUAGGGAAUCUUCCGCAAUGGGCGAAAGCCUGACGGAGCAACGCCGCGUGAGUGAAGAAGGAUUUCGGUUCGUAAAGCUCUGUUGUUAGGGAAGAAUGAUUGUGUAGUAACUAUACACAGUAGAGACGGUACCUAACCAGAAAGCCACGGCUAACUACGU